AUUGAACGCUGGCGGCAUGCUUUACACAUGCAAGUCGAACGGCAGCGCGCGCUUCGGUCUGGCGGCGCGAGGCGAACGGGUGAGUAAUACAUCGGAACGUGCGCCGUUGUGGUGGAUAGCUCGGCGAAAGCCGGAUUAAUACAGCAUUCGACCUGCGGGUGAAUGUGGGGGAUUUUCGGCCUUCGCGCUACUUGAGCGGCCGAUGGCAGUUUAGCUAGUUGGUUGGGUAAAGGCCCACUAACGCGCCACUCGGGAGCUGGUCUGGGAGGAGGACUUACCACACUGGGAGUGAGACACGGCCCACACUCCUACGGAAGGCAGCAGUGGGGUAUUUUGGACAGUGGGCGAGAACCUGAUCCAGCCAUGCGGCGUCUGUGAUGAAAACCUUCGGGUUGUAAGGCGCUUUUGGCGGGAGCGAAAAGGACUGUGCAAAGAUCACCGUUAGAUGACGGUACCCGAUGAAUAAGCACCGGCUAACUACGUG
rnacentral:rRNA from 1 species